rnacentral:lncRNA from 10 species
AGUCCGGCGCCGGAUCGCGGUUGCCCAGCGCGCUGUGCCCUGCCGGGGGCGGGCCACGUUUGAUCUCCGGGCCCGCAGCAAGGGAUCGCGAAGACAGAAGAGGUCCACAAGGCAAAGGAUGCAGACAGCCUGUAGGAGCUGAGACUGGCUCCUGGCUGACAGCCAGCAAGGAAAUGAGGACCUCAGUCCUCCAAUCAUGAAGCAGACUCCGACUUCUGCUAACAACCUGAAUACACUUCAAAGAGGAUUCUGAGCUCCAGCCGCCUACACAUUGAUUUCAGCUGUUGGGACCCUCAGCCGAGAACCCAGCUAUGCCGUGCCCAGAUGUAAGAC